AGAUGGUCCCCGAGCUCCCCGAGAGUCCCCAAUGAAAGGAUUCCGCAGCGCUGCCUCUAUUAUUAUACCGUAAAUCUUUUUAAAUUCUGGAACUAAUUAUAUAGAGGAUAUGUCUCAAUUUGUUCUGCAUUAAUGCCACAGUGGGGACGGGGGCCAGGCGGUGGCUAGAGCAGAUACGUAGGCCCAUGAAAUUGAUGAACUGAGAGUUGCUUCCAGUCCUAAGCGCACCAUCUGGAAUUCCAGUCUGAGGUUACAAUUAGAACUCCUGACCCCAGAUUCAACUUUGCAAACAAC
ensembl:misc_RNA